rnacentral:rRNA from 1 species
UACGUAGGUGGCAAGCGUUGUCCGGAUUUAUUGGGUUUAAAGGGUGCGUAGGCGGUCCUAUAAGUCAGUUGUGAAAUACGGCAGCUUAACUGUCGAGGUGCAAUUGAUACUGCAGGACUUGAGUACAGACGAGGUAGGCGGAAUUGACGGUGUAGCGGUGAGAUGCUUAGAUAUCGUCAAGAACACCGAUAGCGAAGGCAGCUUACUAGACUGUAACUGACGCUGAUGCACGAAAGUGUGGGGAUCAAACAGG